UAUGACACCAUAUGGCUAUUUCG
rnacentral:miRNA from 1 species